rnacentral:lncRNA from 1 species
GGGCUACACCUGUGGCAUAUGGAAGUUUCCAGGCUAGGGGGUCCAGUUGGAGCUGUAGCCACUGGCCUACCCCACAGCCACAGCAACACAGGAUCUGAGACACAUCUGUGACCUACAGCACAGCUCAAGGCAAUGCUGGAUCCUCAACCCAAUGAUCAUGGCUAGGGUCGAACCUGCAUCCUCAUGAAUCCUAGUCGGGUUCAUCAACCACUGAGCCACAAAGGGAACUCCCUUAAAGUCAUUAGGAAAUGUAGAGCUCUUGCAUUUGUUUAAAAAUAAUCCAGUGUUUGUGGGAAAAGGAUGGUACAGCAAAUAAAUAAGUUGACCAUGUGCUGCUAAUUACCAAAGGCAGGUGGUGAGCGCAGGGGGUUGAUUAUGUUAUUCUGCCUACUUUUGAGUAUGUCUGCAAUUUUUGAUUUAAAACACUUUAAACAUCUAGUGGAUGGCAUUUCUUUAAUUAAGAUGUUAUUAGUAACAUAUUAGUUCGCAUUCGAUGCCUGUUUUAACUACCUCCUUUCCACAUCCUUAAUUCCUAAUCAUAUGUAAAGUCUUUCUGGGUUUUUGUUACAUUUUCCAGGUUGUCCUUUACUUUUCUCCUUUCAGCUCUUCCUUAAUAGCAACUUUCACAGAAUCAACUUAUGUAACAUGUACGAGUCCAGACCUGAAUAAUUUGAAGAAAAUUAGUUAAGGCUCUGAGUCUGGUCCUUUGUAUUAAACAAUCAUGAAUUUCAGUAAACCUGGCCUGUGGAAGAGAGGCCCCUUCAGGAACAAAUGAAAGAACAAAGUGUAGAGAAAUACCACUUGGUUAAGUUGGUAUAAUAAGUCUGCUUAAUAUUUGACUGAAACAAACAGGACAAAGAAACCAAUUCAACACGGUGAACACAAAGAAAGAGAUGUACAAAAAAAUCUUUAGGGGAAAAAAUUGGAUUUAAUUAUUUUCAUCCUCCCUUUCCCUUUUAAGGCAUUUGGAUUCUUGCUAACUUCAGGGAAGGCUGGCGUCAGGCUCAGUCACGUGAGUGGGGUUCUGGUCUGGAAGUGCUGAGCCUAGUCCUGGCUAGCACAGAAUGUGAAUAGGUUCCAUGCUGACAUUACUUUUAUAGGUUUUAUACAUCAUUUUAUAGAUUUUCCAGUGAGAUUGAGCUCAGGAUGAAGUCAGUCAAAAGAGGAAUUAAGUAUAUAGAAGGCAAUAUUCAACUACGUAGGCAGGAAUGCCCUUUAAAGAAAUUAAUGUCCCUUUCAAUUUCUUAGUAAUGUAUAAAAAUGGAAUAUAGUGUUUCCCUCUGAUCCUAUUAUCUCUAGAACUACUCAUUCUUUUUUGUGAAUAAGACCCCAAAUGGUUUUUCUAGUGAGCAAGAGUGGGCAAAGAACAUGUAUUAAUUACCAACAAAGAACAUAAGCUCUGUAAUCACAGUCUGAUGCGAUAAAUUAUAACUUUGUUCUCCAGAAGCUGACCCAUAAUGGAUGAACUGGGAAAUCUUCUUAAUGCUGAACUAGAAAAAUAAAGGAUCCGGAUGUUUGAGAGUGCAAGCUGUAUAGGGGCUAUGCACAACCAUGCUAUUGUAGAGCUUUCAUUUUCCUUUAGACACAUUUCUUUAAAUUUUAAAUAUAUCAUCUUUUUUCCUUCCCUUACCAUUAUUAUUUUAAAUUACAGCAUAUUGAUUUAGUGUUGCGCCAAUUUCUGCCGUACAGCAAAGUGACCCAGUCAUACACAUACUUAACAUUCUUUUUUUAAAUAUCAUCCCCAUCACGUUCUAUCCCAAGAGACUAGACACAGUUCCCUGUGCGACACAGCAGGACCUCAUUGCUUAUCUAUUCUAAAUGUAAUAGUUUGCAUCUACUAACCCCAAAUUCCCAGUCCAUCCCACUUCUUCCCUCAUUCCCCUCGGCAACCACAAGUCUGUUCUUUACGUCGGUUUGUGAGUCUGUUUCUAUUCUUCCAAUAGCUUCAUCUGUGGCAUAUUUUAGAUUUCACAUUUAAGUGAUAUCAUAUGGUAUUUGUCUUUCUCUUUCUAGCUUACUUCAUUUAGUAUGAGACUCUCUAUUGAUCCAUGUUGCUGCAAAUGGCAUUAUUUCAUCUUUUUUAUGGUUGAGUAGUAUUCCAUUGUAUAUAUGGACCACAUAUUCUUAAUCCAUUCAUCUGUCAAUGGACACUUAGGUUGUUUCCAUGUUUUGGCUAUUGUGAACAGUGCUGCUAUAAACAUACGGGUACAUGUAUUUUUUUGAAUUGUAGUUUUGUCCAGAUAGAUGCCCAGGAAUGGGAUUGCUGGAUCAUACGUUAGUUCUUUAUUUAGCUUUCUGAGGAAUCUCCAUACUGUUGUCCACAGUGGCUGUACCAAUUUACAUUCCCACCAACAGUGAAGGAGGGUUCCUUUUUCUCCACACCCUCACCAGCAUUUGUUAUUUGUAGACUUACUGAUGAUGUCCAUUCUGAGGUACAAUGGUACUUCACUGUAGUUUUGAUUUGCAUUUUUCCAAUAAUUAGUGAUGUUUUAAGUGUAUCUUCUUGUGAAACAUUUCACCUUAGGAAUAAAGUACAAAAAUUUAAAAAAGAGUCUGACUCUAGAACAAGGGACAGAAACAUUCCUAGGAUAGAGACAUAUUAUAUCGUUUCUUUACCAAGAUUUUCUACUCUUAAUUAUUCCAAAGGGACUCAGAGGUAGCGAGCAUGAUACACUAGUGUCUUUGUGGGAUGUAGAAAAGUGUAAUUAUCUUCCUUGCCUGUGGGAAGUUUACAUUAUCUUUUAGGUAAAAAGAUAAUCAUGUAAGUUAGGGAGUUCCUGUUGUGGCACAGCAGAAAUGAAUCUGACUAGUAUCCAUGAAGACCCGGGUUUGAUCCCUGGCCUCACUCAGUGGGUUAAGGAUUUGUCAUUGCUUUGCGCUUUGGUGUAGGUCACAGAUGCAGCUCGGAUCCAGUGUUGCUGUGGCUCUUGUUAUUUCAUUUGCAAAUCAAACAUGCACAGCUUUGGUUUUACUUAUGCCUCCUUAAGAAUAUAAAUAGGCCUAAAGAUAAUUUGACCAUAAACUAGAAAUUAAUUUACUACUGUACAUUCUUCCUUUCUCCUAUGAUUCCACUCCAUUGACCAGUAUAGCACUGAUAAGUGAUGAGAUCACUUUCUGUAUAUUUGCCACAGGGAAGCAUUCAUGUUUCCCUCUCUCGGGAUGGGCUCCAAGGGAAGGAAAAGUGAGAAAAAUAAACGUAGAGUAUAUGGGAUCCAGGAGUUUAGCAAACUGCUGACAAAAUUCAGUGUGCUAACUCUACUGAUGUUCUUGUAAGUUUGCUGAAAUAAAAGUCAAAGCUUUCAGUGAGCUCUUCAUUGAAAGAGGGGGAAGAAACAGAAAGAGCAAAAGAGAUGACACUGAAAAGCUUGAGGAAGCAGAGCAGGCAGGACAGCACCCCUUCUCAACUCCAACUCGGAGCUGCCCCAGCCACAGCACUGCAUUGGCUACUAAACCAAGACUUUCUGCUUCUGAGGUGUGGGAUUCCAUGUGAGAUAUUUUUAAAAGUGAAAGAAAACCAAAAAACCCACAAAGAAGAAAGAAAGAAAGGAUGGAAGAAAAGGAGAGAAAGAGGAGGAAGGAAGGAAGAUAGACAGAAAGACAGAAAGAACCAACCAAACAGGAAGGAGAGAGACAGACAGAAGAACCAACCAAACAGGAACAAAAACAAAAUCACCAAAUACUCCUAUCCCUUUUUUAAUGAAAACUGCAGAAAACUACUAACCUGAGUCCAUCUGAAAUCAACUUGUAUUUAUUGGGCAGCUAUUCUGUGCCAGGUUUGGGGACAACAGCAGAAACCAAGUAAACAGUCUCUGUAUUCAUGGGUUACUUCAGAUAUUUCCUACAAACUAGGCCUGAUAUUAUUUCAUAGCUAUAAUUCAGAUUCAGCUGUACUAAAAUCAAGAUACUCCUAAUAUUUUACUGAAACCUGAAU